GAACCAGUACCGUGAGGGAAAGGUGAAAAGCACCCCGGAAGGGGAGUGAAACAGUUCCUGAAACCGUGUGCCUACAAGUAGUUAGAGCCCGUUAAUGGGUGAUAGCGUGCCUUUUGUAGAAUGAACCGGCGAGUUACGAUUUGUUGCAAGGUUAAGCGGAAAAAGCGGAGCCGUAGCGAAAGCGAGUCUGAAUAGGGCGCAUAAGUAACAGGUCGUAGACCCGAAACCAGGUGAUCUACCCAUGUCCAGGAUGAAGGUAAGGUAAUACUUACUGGAGGUCCGAACCCACGCACGUUGAAAAGUGCGGGGAUGAGGUGUGGGUAGCGGAGAAAUUCCAAUCGAACUUGGAGAUAGCUGGUUCUCUCCGAAAUAGCUUUAGGGCUAGCCUCGAGGUAAAGAGUCAUGGAGGUAGAGCACUGUUUGGACUAGGGGCCCUUCUCGGGUUACCGAAUUCAGAUAAACUCCGAAUGCCAUGUACUUAUACUCGGGAGUCAGACUGCGAGUGAUAAGAUCCGUAGUCGAAAGGGAAACAGCCCAGACCACCAGUUAAGGUCCCCAAAUAUAUGUUAAGUGGAAAAGGAUGUGGGGUUGCUUAGACAACCAGGAUGUUGGCUUAGAAGCAGCCACCAUUGAAAGAGUGCGUAAUAGCUCACUGGUCGAGUGACCCCGCGCCGAAAAUGUACCGGGGCUAAACAUAUUACCGAAACUGUGGAUGAACCUCUUUAGAGGUUCGUGGUAGGAGAGCGUUCUAAGGGCGGUGAAGUCAGACCGGAAGGACUGGUGGAGCGCUUAGAAGUGAGAAUGCCGGUAUGAGUAGCGAAAGAAGGGUGAGAAUCCCUUCCACCGAAUAUCUAAGGUUUCCUGAGGAAGGCUCGUCCGCUCAGGGUUAGUCGGGACCUAAGCCGAGGCCGAUAGGCGUAGGCGAUGGACAACAGGUAGAGAUUCCUGUACCAGUGCUAAUUGUUUAACCGAUGGGGUGACACAGAAGGAUAGGGAAUCGCACGAAUGGAAAUGUGCGUCCAAGCAGUGAGUGUGAGAAGUAGGCAAAUCCGCUUCUCGCGAAGCAUGAGCUGUGAUGGGGAAGGAAAUUAAGUACGGAAGUUCCUGAUUUCACGCUGUCAAGAAAAGCCUCUAGGAAGAGUAGUACUGCCCGUACCGCAAACCGACACAGGUAGAUGAGGAGAGAAUCCUAAGGUGAGCGAGAGAACUCUCGUUAAGGAACUCGGCAAAAUGACCCCGUAACUUCGGGAGAAGGGGUGCUCUAUUAGGGUGCAAGCCCGAGAGAGCCGCAGUGAAUAGGCCCAGGCGACUGUUUAGCAAAAACACAGGUCUCUGCAAAACCGUAAGGUGACGUAUAGGGGCUGACGCCUGCCCGGUGCUGGAAGGUUAAGAGGAGUGCUUAGCUUCGGCGAAGGUACGAAUUGAAGCCCCAGUAAACGGCGGCCGUAACUAUAACGGUCCUAAGGUAGCGAAAUUCCUUGUCGGGUAAGUUCCGACCCGCACGAAAGGCGCAACGAUCUGGGCACUGUCUCAACGAGAGACUCGGUGAAAUUAUAGUACCUGUGAAGAUGCAGGUUACCCGCGACAGGACGGAAAGACCCCGUGGAGCUUUACUGCAACCUGAUAUGGAAUGUUUGUACCGCUUGUACAGGAUAGGUAGGAGCCGAAGAGACGUGUGCGCUAGCAUACGAGGAGGCAAUGGUGGGAUACUACCCUGGCUGUAUGACCAUUCUAACCCGCCACGCUUAGCGCGUGGGGAGACAGUGUCAGGUGGGCAGUUUGACUGGGGCGGUCGCCUCCUAAAGAGUAACGGAGGCGCCCAAAGGUUCCCUCAGAAUGGAUGGAAAUCAUUCGCAGAGUGUAAAGGCACAAGGGAGCUUGACUGCGAGACUGACAAGUCGAGCAGGGACGAAAGUCGGGCUUAGUGAUCCGGUGGUUCCGCAUGGAAGGGCCAUCGCUCAACGGAUAAAAGCUACCCCGGGGAUAACAGGCUUAUCUCCCCCAAGAGUCCACAUCGACGGGGAGGUUUGGCACCUCGAUGUCGGCUCGUCGCAUCCUGGGGCUGUAGUCGGUCCCAAGGGUUGGGCUGUUCGCCCAUUAAAGCGGCACGCGAGCUGGGUUCAGAACGUCGUGAGACAGUUCGGUCCCUAUCCGUCGCGGGCGCAGGAAAUUUGAGAGGAGCUGUCCUUAGUACGAGAGGACCGGGAUGGACACACCGCUGGUGUACCAGUUGUUCCGCCAGGAGCAUCGCUGGGUAGCUAUGUGUGGCAGGGAUAAACGCUGAAAGCAUCUAAGCGUGAAGCCCCCCUCAAGAUGAGAUUUCCCAUUUCUUCGGAAAGUAAGAUCCCUGAAAGAUGAUCAGGUAGAUAGGUUUGGAGUGGAAGUGUAGCGAUACAUGGAGCGGACAAAUACUAAUCGAUCGAGGACUUAACCAAAA
rnacentral:rRNA from 1 species